AUAAAUUGAAUUAUACCGUAUCGAAGUAUUCUUCUUCGCAGGCUUCUUCUGAGCCUUUUACCACUCCAGUCUAGCACCAACCCCCGAACUAGGAGGCUGCUGACCUCCAACAGGUAUCUAUC